CUUCACAGAAGUAGAGCAAGACCAGAGAGAACCCUGGGAGUAGUUGUAAGCUGCCAUGUGGGCACUGCUCCCCGAAAGAGCGGUCAUAUCCAGAAAAGAUACUCCCAAGAAUGGCUCUCAGGGAAGAUACUACAGUUUAAUUGCCUACAUGAAGGAAGAGGCAAUUACAGCAGAGCUAUUGGAGUUUCGGCUUUUAGGUGGUGAACGUGUCGGCUUAGCGAAGCUGCAGUACCAGGUCCUGCCACGAGAGGACACGGAGCCGCCGGACACCCCCUCUUCAAUCAAAUCUGCAAGAGGUCAAAGGCGCCCCCUCCUCUAAGCUGAGUCUGCAUCUGCGCGCGCAGCUGGAAGUCCUCCGCAAUCCUCACCUCCAAACGGGCUCCUUUUUCCUCCGAAAGGUGAUCUGGAAGUACCCGGAGGUCUUAAGUGAUUAAUGAUUGCCAGUCAUAACGGACGGCAGCGUUUAAAG
rnacentral:lncRNA from 1 species